rnacentral:rRNA from 1 species
UGGGGAAUAUUGCACAAUGGGCGCAAGCCUGAUGCAGCCAUGCCGCGUGUAUGAAGAAGGCCUUCGGGUUGUAAAGUACUUUCAGCGGGGAGGAAGGCGAUAAGGUUAAUAACCUUGUCGAUUGACGUUACCCGCAGAAGAAGCACCGGCUAACUCCGUGCCAGCAGCCGCGGUAAUACGGAGGGUGCAAGCGUUAAUCGGAAUUACUGGGCGUAAAGCGCACGCAGGCGGUCUGUCAAGUCGGAUGUGAAAUCCCCGGGCUCAACCUGGGAACUGCAUUCGAAACUGGCAGGCUAGAGUCUUGUAGAGGGGGGUAGAAUUCCAGGUGUAGCGGUGAAAUGCGUAGAGAUCUGGAGGAAUACCGGUGGCGAAGGCGGCCCCCUAGACAAAGACUGACGCUCAGGUGCGAAAGCGUGGGGAGCAAACA